rnacentral:pre_miRNA from 7 species
CUAUCCCAAAUCGGAUAGGGGACUAAUAUCCAAUAUAUGUUGAAAGACCCCUGAAGGGAGACCCUCACUCAAGCCUCGGGACAGCCGCGGACCCAAGAAGACACUGAGACCG